CAGAGGCCCCAAGCGUUAGGCGGAAUCACUGGGCUUAAAGCGCGUGUAGGCGGAUCGUUAAGUGCCUUGUGAAAUCCUGCGGCUCAACCGCAGAACUGCUGGGCAUACUGGCGAUCUUGGGCCACUCAGGGGUCACUGGAACAAGCGGUGGAGCGGUGAAAUGCGUAGAUAUCGCUUGGAACGCCAAAGGUGAAGACAGGUGACUGGGGGUGUGCCGACGCUGAGACGCGAAAGCCAGGGGAGCAAACGGGAUUAGAUACCCCGGUAGUCCUGGCCCUAAACGAUGUCCACUGGAUCGCGGCGGUUUUGACGCCGUCGCGGUCGGAGCAAAAGUGUUAAGUGGACCGCCUGGGAAGUACGGUCGCAAGGCUA
rnacentral:rRNA from 1 species